GAUGAACGCUGGCGGCGUGCCUAAUACAUGCAAGUCGAGCGAACAGACGAGGAGCUUGCUCCUCUGACGUUAGCGGCGGACGGGUGAGUAAAACGUGGAUAACCUACCUAUAAGACUGGGAUAACUUCGGGAAACCGGAGCUAAAACCGGAUAAUAUAUUGAACCGCAGGGUUCAAGGGUGAAAGACGGUGUUGCUGUCACUUAUAGAUGGAUCCGCGCCGCAUUAGCUAGUUGGUAAGGUAACGGCUUACCAAGGCAACGAUGCGUAGCCGACCUGAGAGGGUGAUCGGCCACACUGGAACUGAGACACGGUCCAGACUCCUACGGGAGGCAGCAGUAGGGAAUCUUCCGCAAUGGGCGAAAGCCUGACGGAGCAACGCCGCGUGAGUGAUGAAGGUCUUCGGAUCGUAAAACUCUGUUAUUAGGGAAGAACAAAUGUGUAAGUAACUAUGCACGUCUUGACGGUACCUAAUCAGAAAGCCACGGCUAACUACGUG
rnacentral:rRNA from 1 species